rnacentral:rRNA from 1 species
CGGACUUACAAGCCCCUGGUUAAAUUCUACGGCUUAACCGUAGGCUUGCUGGGGGAACUGUGAGUCUUGGGGCCGGAAGAGGUCGGAGGUACUCCCGGGGUAGUGGUAAAAUGCUAUAAUCCUGGGGGGACCACCAAUAGCGAAAGCAUCCGACUGGGACGGACCCGACGGUGAGGGACGAAGGUCAGGGGAGCGAACCGGAUUAGAUACCCGGGUAGUCCUGGCUGUAAACGAUGUGGACUAAGUUUCCCUGAGACCACGAGUCUCAGGGGAGCUGAAGAGAAAUCAUUAAGUCCACCGCCUGGGAA